rnacentral:rRNA from 1 species
GGGCUCAAUUUCCUUGGAACAGGAGGUCAUGGAGGGUGAGAACCCCGUAUGUGGCUUGGGUGCCGUGGUCCUUGUGACGUAUCCUCUAAGAGUCGGGUUGUUUGGGAAUGCAGCUCAAAAUGGGUGGUAAAUUUCAUCUAAAGCUAAAUAUUGGUGAGAGACCGAUAGCAAACAAGUAGAGUGAUCGAAAGAUGAAAAGUACUUUGAAAAGAGAGUGAAACAGUACGUGAAAUUGUUGAAAGGGAAGCGUUUGGCAUCAGCCCAUGGCGGCGGUCGAACAUCUGGGCUUCUGCCCAGUGCACUCGGCAGUCGCCGGGCCAGCGUCGGUUCCACCUGCUGGAGAAAGGCCUUGGGGAAGUGGCACUCCCUUGUGGAGUGUGUUAUAACCCAUGGCGUCAUGCGGCUUGGUGGGACCGAGGUCCGCGGUUUUGUCCUAGGACGCUGGCGUAAUGGUUCCAAGCGACCCGUCUUGAAACACGGACCAAGGAGUCUAACAUCUAUGCGAGUGUUUGGGUGUCAAGCCCGG